GCGAGAGUGGCGGAACUGGUAUACGCACUGGACUUAGAAUCCAGCGGGGCAACCCAUGGGGGUUCAACUCCCCCCUUUCGCACCA
rnacentral:tRNA from 1 species